rnacentral:tRNA from 1 species
GGAAAAUAGGUUAAAUGUGUAGGAUUUUGGUUUCUAGUUUUAUUUAAUA